AUGGAGGAUGCUGAAGGUGAAGGGGAAGGUGAAGAAGAGGCACGUGAUGAUCCCGUUGAUGAUCUUGGUCGGACCAUUGCUGAUGCACGGAGACGCUGCGAAACUGAAAAGGAGAGGGAGAAUUUGGAUCGCAUGUUAGAGGAUCACAGAAAGGCGCUGUACCCCGGAUGCGAUGAUGGUCUGAAAAAGCUGGGCUGCACACUGGAUUUGCUGAAAUGGAAGGCAGAGGCAGGUGUAGCUGACUCGGCAUUUGAAAACUUACUGAAAAUGUUGAAGAAUAUGUUUCCAAAGGAUAACGAGUUGCCCGCCAGUACGUACGAAGCAAAGAAGGUUGUCUGCCCUCUAGGUUUAGAGGUUCUGAAGAUACAUGCAUGCAUCAACGACUGCAUCCUCUACCGCGGUGAAUACGAGAAUUUGAAUGAAUGCCCGGUAUGCACUGCAUUGCGUUAUAAGAUCAGAGGCGAUGACCCUGGUGACGAUGUUGAGGGCCAGAAACCCGUACGAGGGGAGACUAAGUGGAAAAGGCACGAUCGGAAGGAAAUCAACGAUAUGUAUGGACGGCCAUUCUCUGACUGA
rnacentral:rRNA from 1 species